AAAUUGUUUGCUUUGCACCAGGUGUAUAAGUGCUGGAUUCAUCACCAUGUUGGUCGUUUGAUCCGUACGCAUGACUAUGUUGUUAAAAUGGAAAGGGCCAACCGCAUUUGAUUGGUCUUCAAGAGUGCGUCUUGGAGGAGUUAUUUCAGCCAUCUCCUCUGUUCUUCUAACUGGUGAAGGUGAUAGUAAUCUUUCAGGGGAAGGAAACAAAUCCCUAGAUGGGCGUCUUACUCUCCUUCUCUUACUUCUAGUAUAUCUGGGCUCCUGCUGCAUGCACAAGAAACACAAACCCUAGUAGCACUUUUUUUUUAUAUAAAAAAAACAAAAAAAAUAAAAAGAUAAAAAGAUAAAAAGAUAUAUACAAUCAAGUCGAACUUAAUCAGUUUACACUACUAGAUAAGUUAAAUCACGAGUCCCCAGC
rnacentral:lncRNA from 1 species